UAGUCCACGGGGUCACACAGAGGUGGACACGACCCAGGAACUGACACCGAGAGCCUGCCACUCCCAGACGACGCGAUUUGGGGUCAGCCGUAAGCAGGAUGAAGACAAGAGUGAUGUCUAACGUCCUUACGGCGUGUCUCUCGUCCCCAGGGCGGGACUCACCCCAUAGCGAUGUUCUCCCUUACGUGUGAGUCUUUGCUCACUUCUAACUCCCUGUUACAAAAGCACAACCUUUGCCACCUGUCAAACUCAGCAUAAACACACCCAAACUCACUGUCUUCUCCUCACUUGCUCCUCCUUCUUCUCAGAAGGCCCUUUAACUGCCUCGUGUUCUUCAGUAGCCCAGGGGCACCCUCCACUAUGGUUCCAGCUCUGACCACUCUCCUGAAUUCUGCCAGAGUCAGCCUCUUCCCCAGGCCUCCCUUCAUCCUGGCCCAUCCUACACACUGCUUCCCGGAAAUGUGCAGAGUUGGAAAAGUCUGACUCCGUACGGAUCUGCUUCUCUUACUUUCGCCUUUGUGCUCCGUUGCCUGGGCUGAGUCACGCUGACUCGGCACCUUCUGUACAAGGAUGCUGCCCGUGGCCUGAGAUAUAUAGGACAGCCAGUUCCCAAGGCUCUGACCUUUAAGGGCGUAACACUUUUCCAUUCACACAGAGAUAAAGAGUCGCAGAACAGAAAAUAACAUUUGUCUUGCUGGAGGUUGAUGGGAAGAUCUAGACCUGACCUAGGUAGACAGCUCCAAGAACAAAGGACUCCAGCGCCAAGAAAUCUGCCCCAACCAACCCCACGCCCCUUCUCACCUAGCCUUUAAAAAUGCCUUCCUGAGACCCUGUGGGGAGUCUGGGCUUGGGGGCAGGAGCCGGUCUCCUUGCAUGGCCCUGCUAUAAACCUUUCUCUGCUUCCAACUCUGAUGUUCCGUUUGUUUUGACCUUCUGUGUCGGGCAUGUGAAUUUGUGUUCAGUAACAAAACCCAUCUAUUCACUCCGCUGCUUAAAAACUCGCCAUGGCUCCUUACGUCCCGUCUAAUAAAGACCAGAUGCCUUAACGAAGCUUGUGAAGGCCCCUUCUAGCCCCUUCCAACCUCAGGUUCUCCCUUCUGUCACCCUGUACCUAAGAGCACCUGCCCUGCGCUCUUGUGUCCAUGGGUCUGUCCACACCCCACGCUGCUUCUGUCUCAUGCGAGGUCACAAGGCGCUCAAACCCCGGCAUACGUGUUAUUUAUCUUUAUACCUGCCUGGGCCGCUGCCCACAACACGAGUGCCUGGUUUGGGGAGGGUACUUAACGCAGAGCCCACAGGAAGGACAUCUACUAGAUUCAUACUCAGGGCUCUCUCUCCCCACCUCGCGACUCCGCCCCAGGGAAGGAGAAAAUGACCUGGCUGAUUCAUGAGUUUGGCAAAAGGACCUGAAUUUGCUCGGCUCACAUCCCUUCCUCCAUCCUCCCUUUGAGGAACCAGCCGCUUAUACGUAACCUGUAUUCAAGCUGAAUUCUCUUUUCUUCUUGGCCAUCCAGAAAGUUUAUUCAGGCAGGAUCAUCCCAGCAGAGAAGACUUCCACUUUGGGGGGAGGAUGUAAGUGUGAACCAGGGGUGUGUAAACAAACCUACCAGCCAGAUUAACUCCUGCCCUCUGACAGAGGGCUCUGUGAGUAAGAAAGGUGAUAUUUUUAUCUCCAUCUGUCUGCCUCUUACAUCAAUUUUUCAGCUCUUUCCAAUUAAGGCAGGUUAGAGGGAUGUUAUAUUUUAGGUUGUCUUAAGACCUAGUGUCUUGUACAGACAACGUGUAUCUCAUAUGUGUCCUUGAUUUAACUGACUUGAAUUCUAUCCCAAAGACUUAUUUUCAGCUUUCUUAUCCUGAGUGAGAUUGAGCAAACAAAGCCUUACUUUAAAUAGUACAACAGCGACAUGGCAUCUUUCAGCUGAGGAAACUGAAACAUUUGGGGUUUGAGAAACAUCACUUGUCACUUCACAAAUAGCAGGCGGUUGGGAAAAGCCAAAAAUGGAUUUUCCAUGUCAAAUUUCUCUUCAUCUAUAAAUCCUUCCCUUCUUAGAGAAAUUUAUAGGUUUCUGGCUUCCUUUUCCCUUUGGCCAUCAAAUUUAAUUUCCCAGGAGUUUUUUUUUUUUUCUCUCUCUUUUUAGUUUUCUACUGGAAACGUAAAAUUUUCCUGAUUCUUGAUGUUCCAUAUCUUCUAGCUUAUUCCUUCCUUCCACCUCCACUCUCUUCUUUUAUUCCUCUAUAAAUUCUAGAGAUGACCAGACCUCCUGCUUCUCUAAGAUCCAUGCUGAGCCUUUGGAUUUAACAUCUCAAAACAUCUGUCAACAUUUUUCAUCCUUCUCUCCAGCCUCUGAUUACACACAUGCGUGUCUCUCUCCAAAGUGAGCUUUUGACUUCUACCUUCCGUUGACACCAGGAGACCCCCUUUCCUCCAUUCCUGUUACAUCCGUUCUGUUUCUUUCUCUCCCCUGGCUCCUUCCCACCUGCCUUUAAACAUACCCAGAUCCCCUCAUUUGGAAAAACCUCUCAUUUUUCACUUUGCUCCAUGCCCACCUCUAGCUGCUUCCCUCUGUUCCAUUCACUAUCGAGGCUCUAAAAACAUCAUCACACAGGUUCUACCUGUAUUUCCACAUCACUGUAAUGCUCCACGAUUCCAUGACCUUUUGCUUCCAACCCAAGUGUUCAAUGGAAAGAAUUACUCUUGAAGUUCACCAACAGUUUCUCUAGUGACACAUUCUUCGGUCUUCACUCCGUCCUUAUUCUUCUUGAUUUCUUUGCUUCUUUCAGCACUGAUGGCCACUUUCUACCCUACCACCACCACCAGCUUAUUUACCUGUCUUUUCGUCUUGGUCUCAUGUUCUCUCAAAACGGUGAUCCAGUCCUGAGUCCUGAUAAACUUGACAGCAAGCAUUCCUGGCGGCAUUGUCACUUGACCUAACAGAACAAGCUGUUCAACCCAGUCAUGGAGAACUCUUCCCAUCUGACAGUGAGUGGUGCGGGGGUGAGCAGGUAGGCCACUUCUGACCCAUGAUAAAGGGAAGACCUCUCAGGAGCUCAGGGAAACAUUUUCCUUCCUGUUGGAGAGAGGCCCAAGGAGAAAAGCACUUUUUCCUGCCCGUCCCUUUUUUCUUGGGAUGUUGUCACAGAAGAACAUGAAAUCCUGAGCUGUGCCACCUUGUCACCAAGAAGGAAGGUCAAGCCAAGACUGUGUCUGACAUCAAGGGAAGCUUCCAAGUCAACGCUGUAACUUCUGACAUGUUUGAGUAAAAAUAGGUCUAGAUGUAAGUAUUAAGUAUUGGCUGUAUAUCUAUUACUUGCAGCCAAAUACACUGAAACAUUCUUCCAAAAGUCUCUGCCUCAUCCAUUCUCAGAGAACACAUUGUGAUGUCUAUGCUGAUGUCAUCAAAAUCCUUAUCUCCAAAUGUCUCUCCCACCCCCGACUCCCCAGGUCCUAGAUGUUUCCCCCUCGGAUUCUCACACCAUCAGCUUAAAGCGGCAUGUUCAAAUCCAGACUGAAAUAGCUUCAGCGACAGCAUGAAGAAUGGAUCAGAAGAUGAAAGCCUGAGAUACCGGAGCUCUCAGGGCGGUUAAGCAAGCCAAGCAGCAGUUGCCAAGAUCCCUUCUUAGCUAAGGUAGCCCUGCCAACGACAGAGCAAAGCGUGUCAUCAUUGAUCCCAGAUUAAUCUUCCAAGAAAAGCACAUAGAACUACAAAUAUGUUGGCAUUUCCUUCUUGCAAGAAAAACAACAAAGUAGAUAAAAAUCUGCUUUCUCAGAUUCUAGAGAGCCAGUACUAUAUUACUGGUAUCCUAUUCAUCUUUCAGGGGUCAGCAACCCUACCAACCAUGGACCUAAUCUGGCCCACCACUUGCUUUUAUAAAUAAAGUUUUAUUGAAACACAGAGAUGUACUUAGUUUAUGUAUUGUCCCUGGUUGCUUUCCUACUUCAAUGACAGUGUUGAAUCACUGCAACGAAGACCAUCAAGCCACAAAGCCUAAAACAGUUAUUAUCUGGCCCUUAACAACAACAAUAAAAAUUGCCCUAGUUAAAACAGCAUGGUAUUUUCUCACAUAUUGGGUAUUUGUUCACUCAUCAUCUUUCAUUCAUAACAUUUUAACUGACAUCUUAACAUCACUGCUAAUGUGUCAACCUGAAAUUAGCAAUGAUUUUUGAAGAUCACAAUGAAUGCUCUCCUUUACUUUUGAUUAAUAGGUGAUCAGUAUUUUUCAAUGAACCUAAUUUUUAAAAAAUCUACCACCCAGAAGCUAUUUAGAAUUUUGAGUAUUGCACGCAAUAUUUAUUCAUGUUUUAGUCUAGCUUUAAACUUUAAGCUUUAAAACAAAAAAAGAUUAAUCUCCAAAUGAGGCUGGAAAUAUAACCAUAGCCUUAAGAAAAAUUAAAAGAUAAUUAUGCCCUAGCUACCAUGUUUUCCUUUCUUUCCUUUUGGAAAGAUUGCCUCUCUAAAUAAAAGAUGCCUGCCUUUUUAAAUGCCUUUCAUCCCUGGAUCUUUUGACGUCACAGACCUUCUUAUUUUAAUGGAGCAACAUCUUCCUAGGAACUUAUCAGUGAAUCAUAGCCUGAGAAUGAAGAGGAAAAGGAGGAGGUCUGCCCUGAAAGAAAGUGAUACAGGGAGGUUCCAGCCUUGAUUCUGUGCUCUAGGCAGUGAGGGCUGUGCAGGCCACAAGUCUGUUCAAUAAAGGCUUACAGAACAAGAACUGUGAGCUGGAUCUUAUACCAAGGAAUUGUCUUCAAGACACCAAACCUUUCAGUCUUUUUCUACUUCUACAUACAAAUAUAUGCAAAAAUAUAUUUUAGUGGGUAAUAAUGUAUAAGUUGCAAUUAUUACAUGUUU